rnacentral:lncRNA from 1 species
CCUGAAGCUUGCCAGUGAGGACAAGGAGCAGAAGCUGGCAUUCCUAGAGGAGGCACGGACAGCCGUGGGCAAGGAGGCCGGGGAGCUGUGAACUGGGCUGCAGGAGCUGGAGCGCUCGUGGCUGGAGGCUCGGCAGGAGCUGCAGGAGCUCCAGCAUCAGGCUUAUUUCAGUGGAAGCCCAUCUGCAAAAUCUGUUAUAAAUUUAAAUUGGAAAAUAACUACAAGUGCCAUUGACACGUUGGUUAUUGUUUUUGCGAGUGACCUAAGGCCACCUCUUGGGGUUGCUGGGGGCUGCCUUCUGAAGCCUGCACCUCUGCACCACGUACCUGGGCCUGGAAGUCAGACUCCCAGCGGUGCGGCAGCGCCAGGCCUGCAGUGCUAAGCGCGGGGUGGCUUCUGGCCUCCGAGGGGGUGUGUCUCCUGCCUCUUCAACCUGGCAGGGGCUGUUCAAGCGGACGCGAAAAUCAGCGAUUUGCAGAGUGGAGGGCUGGUGCUUUGAAAGAGAGGCCGGAGGGGAGAGAGGGAUUUCCCCAUCCCCGCUGCACUAGGUCCAUCCCCUCGCUUACUCCUUUUCUGGGCCCGCGAGGCCCCUAACCUGCGGGAACCCUUAUGCAGUAGAGGUGGCCCGGUCCCUUUAAGACCCUGCCGCGCCUGCCCCUUGGGUUCUGACGCCAUCCUGAGGCGCCAGGCGAGGGCUGGGCGCCCGCGGGGGGCUGGGUGGUGGUUGAGACCGCGGUGGUACUGGGAGGGGUAGGUGAGGGUUGCGAGGCUGCCUGAGCUUCUGAGUGAGCAUGGCGCUUUUGGAACGCGGGACUGGCAACCUGCUGCGCCAGGAGCUGGACCGAGGCGCGGCGACGCGGCUGCCGGCUGCCCUCUGGAUGGGAAGUUAUGGCGAAGUCCACCCAGCCUUUCCGAGGCGGUGGAGGGACGGAGCAGCUUCGGGGGCACGUCCUCCUGUAUCCCGUAGAGGACACUGACCCUGGACCCCACCUUCAAGUCCAGAAAUCGGUUCCCUCUGCUUGCAAAGUUGGAGUCCUUAUUGGCCUCGGGGAUUCUGCUCCUGGCGGUGUCUCCAGGCUGGCGAUGGGCAAGCCAGGUGUGCCAGGUCCAGGAUGCACAUGAGGAGCGUUUGUGGCCAUCACCGAAUCACCUCAUGACUAGCGGGGCAAGCCUCAAAUUAACCGCAGGAUUUCCGGUCGGAUGGAUUGUGGGGUUGGUGUUUGCACUGCAAAGAGUUGCUGUGAUUUCUCUGUGUCUGUCUGUCUUUCUGGCUUCUUAGAUCAUCUCAUUUGGCAUCCUUUCACUGAA